UACGGGGGGGAGCAAGCGUUGUUCGGAUUUACUGGGCGUAAAGGGCGCGUAGGCGGUCAGCACAAGUCAGUUGUGAAAUCUCCGGGCUUAACUCGGAAAGGUCAACUGAUACUGUGCGACUAGAGUGCAGAAGGGGCAACUGGAAUUCUCGGUGUAGCGGUGAAAUGCGUAGAUAUCGAGAGGAACACCUGCGGCGAAGGCGGCACUCUGGGCCGGAACUGACGCUGAGGAGCGGAAGCGUGGGGGAGCAAACAGG
rnacentral:rRNA from 1 species